UCACACCGCCCCACCCACCAAACACAAUUAUUCUCUCAUCUUCUCUCUUCUCCUCCUUUCCCCUCACCAAACUCCAUCCAGAUCUGGGCCGCCGUCACUCUAUCUCUUUCGCCAUGUGUGCAUCAUCUUCCUCUUAUUCUAAUCACAUGUCCAUACUGCAAGAGGGGAGAUGUGGAAUGGUGGGUGUCCCGCACCAAGCUGAACCCCAGAAGACACUUCUACAAGUGCGAGCAUCACUAGAAAGGCAAAUGUUCUUUCUAGAUGUGGGAAGAUGUCGAAAUCGAUGUUCUCAGAGCCAAGUGGCCCAAGCUGUUCAUCCCUAUCGCCAUCCGGCCCAAUAACAGUGGCCCCAAUAGGAUCUUGAUCCUCGUCGCUGGUAUUUUGAACCUCGUUUUUCUUCACCUUACUCCAAAGAAGAACGGAAGCUGAAGCUGAAGUUGUUCAUCCCUAUCGCCAUCGAACCCAAUAACAGCUACCCCACUAUGAUCUUGAUCCUCAUAGCCGGUAUCCUCAACCUCGUUAUUUUUCUUCACCUUACACUGGUGCAACGGCGUGCUAUACAAACAGUUUUUAACCCCUUUCCGUGAUGGCAUUUUAAACCGUCGCCUAGUGAGUGUGGGCGAUAGGGGGGGUCCUUCUCACACGACCCAAAAAUCAAUGGGCAUAGGGAGCCAUGAUGCAGACGCGUUGCGAAAUGUAAUCGCAUGCGAUGCAGCAACACAUCACACACACAACAUUCUCGAAUAGGUGUGUGAUUGGUGAUCAAAUGUUUCUAAUGAUGAAGUGAAACCAAACGGUGCUUCAUACUGAACCGUUUGGGAACAAUAUCUAAGGCACACGAGCCAACUUAUGAACUA